rnacentral:rRNA from 1 species
UACGUAGGUCCCGAGCGUUGUCCGGAUUUAUUGGGCGCAAAGCGAGCGCAGGUGGUUUAUUAAGUCUGGUGUAAAAGGCAGUGGCUCAACCAUUGUAUGCAUUGGAAACUGGUAGACUUGAGUGCAGGAGAGGAAAGCGGAAUUCCUAGUGUAGCGGUGAAAUGCGUAGAUAUUAGGAGGAACACCAGUGGCGAAGGCGGCUUUCUGGACUGUAACUGACACUGAGGUACGAAAGCGUGGGGAGCAAACAGG